rnacentral:lncRNA from 1 species
GUAAAUUCUUGUGUUGUUGAACAAUAUUCAGAAACAAAAAGAAUCAGCAGAAACAUUGUUUUGGCACAACUUGCUACAGAAUGGAAUAAAUGUUCUCAAAGAAAAAACUAGUUUCACGAGUGGGCAGAUAUUUGUUGGCUCUCUUUGCAUUUGUAAUUCUAUCCACUUUGUACAUCUGUUCAUCCAUGUCUCUGUGCACCUGUAACAAUUUAAUUUAUGUUAAUUGUUGGAAAAGAACAUUAUCAAGUGCGAAGAAAAAAAGAUUACGCGUAAUAUCAGCGAAAGUAGGCUUAUGUACCACUACUGUAUUUCCAAGGAAAAUAUGUUCGUCAUGAGAUUAAUUUGAAUAUGCGGAAUCGCUGAAGAAUAGGAAGAAAUUUAAUAAAGUUAGGCCACAAAAUCAUAUCUAACAACCCUCUAUUGCUGUAAAAUGUUGAAUAAGAUUAAUGUGUACAUGUUCAUGCAGAAAUGAUUUCACCAGUGGUAGUUGAAUUUCAUUGUCUUUACAAUUGACUGUGUGAUAUAAGAACUUUUCAUGAAUUUUGUUAAAAAUAAAAGUAGCUGAACCUUUUUAAUGAACAAGUUUAAAGAAUGGAAUGAACAAGAAUUGAUUUAACAAAUGUUGAACCGAAUGAAACAGGUUUAAUAAACAAUUGUUCAACCAUAAAUAAGUAGUUGAACAUCUUUUUUGUUAACAAAUUGAACAAAAAAGAGAUAUGUAAAUAUAUUGAAGAAAAAUUCCAGGCAAUUAAUAAAAAUGAUUAACAAAUGUUCAAAUUUGUUUUUUUAUAUUUAACCUAUUCAAAACGAAUGUUCAGUUUUUUUGUUGCAAACAAAUGUUCCAUUUUUAUACAAAAAUGUUCAUCGUAUAUUACAAAAUUGUUCACAGUAUGUUUCAAAAAAAACAUUAACUACGCAUUAUAAAAAUGUUCACGCAUAUUAAGAAUAUGUUCAACGAAUACUACAAAAGUUCACUGUUAAUGUGAAUUUUUUUUUCAGUGUUUAUUACACAAAAAUGUUCAGUGUGUAUUCGGAAAUUUUCCAACAUCGAUUACACAAAGUGUUCAAUGUGUAUCCAAAAAAUGUUCAACGUACAUUAGAAAUGUUCAAUGCCUACCAAAAUUAAACAAUAGAUUUUAAUAGGUUAUAAGCAAAAAAAUGGAACGAAUGAACUCUUAAGAAUUUAGUUCAACAGAAAGUGAAUAAGUUUAAUAGAUAAUGAACAAAUUUUGGAAUGUUAAUAAACAUAAAAAAAUUCCUUUUUACGCUGAAAGUUGAUUAAUUAAGAAACAAAUACACAGAAUGACAAGUUAAUUAGAACCAUACUGAAGUAGAUGAUAUUCUGCAGGGCAAACUCUGCAAAAGGCAAUAAAAUUAGAAUAUCACCCAGCACAAAAGGAAACAUCACUCUAUUUCACCUUUUCUUAUAAAAAUA